UACGUAGGGUGCGAGCGUUAAUCGGAAUUACUGGGCGUAAAGCGUGCGCAGGCGGUUCGUUGUGUCGGUGGUGAAAUCCCCGGGCUUAACCUGGGAAUGGCAGUGGAAACUGGCGGGCUUGAGUGUGGCAGAGGGGGGUGGAAUUCCGCGUGUAGCAGUGAAAUGCGUAGAGAUGCGGAGGAACACCGAUGGCGAAGGCAGCCCCCUGGGCCAACACUGACGCUGAGGCACGAAAGCGUGGGGAGCAAACAGG
rnacentral:rRNA from 1 species